rnacentral:lncRNA from 1 species
GGGGAAUGUUACAAGUUUAUGUAGUUUGAAAAACAAUGCCCUAACAGUUGCUAAUAAUAAAAUACAAAUGUAAUAAAGCAGUGCUGGCUGAAAAUAGAGAAACACAAAUACUUAAGAUAAUAUGCACGUUUGCGCCACUGCAAUAAGCAUUAAUCACAUUUAGGCAAAGGUUCAUGUUUACAACAAAUGUCCUUUUAUUUACCUUUAAUUUAUAUAUUUUGGUUUUGGUUUCAUGCUGAUAAAACUAGUAGGAUGAAAGCCUUGACCACAAUCACCUUCAUUACACCAAAGUUAAAGACAGACCUGUAUCACCAUCCAAUAUUUGGACAUCACUGUUACACAAAAACUCCAAUUUUGAGGCUCAUGUACGUGUUUCUAAAAAAAACCCUAUAGAAACAGAUGGAAUUCAAAAGUGCCAUUUGCUUUGCAUGUCUUUAAUAUUGUUCUUCUUACAUUUUUUAAUAUGUAGAAAGCAGCCUGUUAGAUAAUAGGAGAGAAUGAAAGCUUUGAUCAUCCUGUGAUCAAAGAGAGUUGUGUUGUACAGCAAAAUUUUGGUGUAAAUUUACAAAAACAAGAAUUGUGUUGACAGUAAUGUAUUAAAGCCACUCUAAAGGUUCCCAGAGAAAUCCACAAAAUGGAAGCAACCCGACAGAGAAUGGAGAGACUGGAAAGAGAGCAGGAAACCCAGAGGAGACAGCAAACCGCAGUCGUGUCCAGAACGUUUUCUAGGAGAGUGAGGAACAGCCUGCAGCUGCAGCUGAGGAGGAAGGAACAAAUCAACAAGAUCCUGCAAAAAGGACUGAUCAGCAUGCGCAAGCAGCUCCACUUAAAAACGACCCGGAUAAGAAAGUACAAACUGCAGAAUGAAAAGCUGACGGAGGAGAUGGAGGAACGGAUCGAAAACAAGAAUGAGACCAUUGUCGAUCUGCACAUCCAGGUGCAGUGUAUGAAGAAAGAAGUGGAACAGUUUGCACUUAAGGAAAAAGCCAUUCAGUCUCAGAAGGAGCAGCUUACACAAGAGAUCACAGCCAUGAAUGCGUCUUUACAAAACCAAGUGUAUGAGAACGCCAUCCAGGCGAACCAGUUGGCCGAUCUGCAGCAGCAGCUGGACCAGAAAGAGGAAACCAUCGCCUACAUGCUGGAUUACAGGCAAAACCUUGAGGACAACUAUUUGACAAUCCAGGAAAAGAUGGACUUGCUUGACCAUGAGAUGGAUCAGAUGGUGCAAGAAAGGAAUUUGAUGCUCCAUUACGUGGUGACAAUGCAGGCCUGCCUGUACAACGAUGUGGAGCAGUGGCUGAACCAGUUGUUGGAGUAUGAUCACAUAUCCGAGGGCAGCAUGCACAAAUUUAAGAGCGUGCGGGAGCAGGUCAAUUUGUUGAAGCCAAUAUUAGCAAGAAACCGUGCAGGUAUCAAUUCUGUCUUAGCUUGCACAUCUAAAAAGGUUGAACUGGCUAAAACUGGCCGAAAGACGCACUUUUAUUGAAGAGUGUGCUCCAGCUGUUUGCUGCCUGGUCUUGAAUGUAACUUGUAAUCAUUCAACAUUAUUGUUAACAUCUAAGAACAGGCAGACAACGUGUGAAUUACCAACUGGCUGAUUUGUGUUGAACCCAUUAAAGUUUUAGAUGAUGAAUAUGAAGAAGAGGAGGAGGAGGAGGAUGAUGAUGAGGAUGAUGAUGAGGAUGAGGAGGAGGAAGAUGAAGAUGAAGAAGAGGAGGAGGAGGAAGAGGAGGAGGAGGAAGAGGAUGAGGAAAGAGAAGACUGGGAAACGACAGACAGCGAAGUUGCAGCG